rnacentral:rRNA from 1 species
AUUGAACGCUGGCGGCAGGCCUAACACAUGCAAGUCGAGCGGAUGAAGGGAGCUUGCUCCUGGAUUCAGCGGCGGACGGGUGAGUAAUGCCUAGGAAUCUGCCUGGUAGUGGGGGAUAACGUCCGGAAACGGGCGCUAAUACCGCAUACGUCCUGAGGGAGAAAGUGGGGGAUCUUCGGACCUCACGCUAUCAGAUGAGCCUAGGUCGGAUUAGCUAGUUGGUGGGGUAAAGGCCUACCAAGGCGACGAUCCGUAACUGGUCUGAGAGGAUGAUCAGUCAAACUGGAACUGAGACAGGGUCCAGACUACUACGGGAGGCAGCAGUGGGGAAUAGUGGACAAUGGGCGAAAGCCUUAUCCAGCCAUGCCGCGUGUGUGAAGAAGGUCUUCGGAUUGUAAAGCACUUUAAGUUGGGAGGAAGGGCAGUAAGUUAAUACCUUGCUGUUUUGACGUUACCAACAGAAUAAGCACCGGCUAACUUCGUG